UACGUAGGGGCCUAGCGUUGUCCGGAAUCAUUGGGCGUAAAGAGCUCGUAGGCGGCUCGGUAAGUCAGGUGUGAAACCUCCAGGCUCAACCUGGAGACGCCACCUGAUACUGCUGUGGCUAGAGUCCGGUAGGGGAGCGUGGAAUUCCUGGUGUAGCGGUGAAAUGCGCAGAUAUCAGGAGGAACACCAGCGGCGAAGGCGGCGCUCUGGGCCGGAACUGACGCUGAGGAGCGAAAGCGUGGGUAGCAAACAGG
rnacentral:rRNA from 1 species